rnacentral:lncRNA from 1 species
CCUCUUGUCCCAGGUGGUACAAAAAGUUUCAGUCCACGUCUAGGAAGUGCUCCCUCAUUUUCUUGCAGCAAAUAUCCAGACCAGUGUUGAAGGCAUCUUGACUGAAGGCGAGUUUUUCAUCUGCUAGAUGCGUGGAAGGCUUCUACAGCUACACGUCCUGCCUCAGCAGUUUGUUCUUGGAUUUUCCUUUCAACAUCAAUAGCCUUAACUUGCACUUCCAACCUCUUCUUUUUUUUCGAAGCCAACACAGCUUCAGUUUCCUUCAACUUAUUUUUCAAUUGGGCAACCUUAGCUUCAGCAGCUUCUGCCCUCGAUUUGACUUUGACCUCUGUAACUUCGGCUGACCUACACUUCUUAUUUGCUUUGGCCUGCUUCUUUUAGCAUCAUUCAUUUUGGUGAUAAUAGUUGCCGCAUAGUAUCCUACCUACAUUUAUAAAAUAGAGAGUGAGCAAAAAAAAAAAAA